CAGUUAUCGCACAAGCGUGCGUCCUCAGAGCCAGGAUAAACACUCCGUUACUCUCCCUCUAAACUGCUCUUCUGGGAAGGAGAGAAAAUAAAUAGGGAGUGAGAGAGGCAUUUGAAGUAACCUUUUUAAGAAGGAAGCAGCAGCCAAUAGAACCUUCCUUUUUUUUUUUUUUUCCUUUAUUUUUUUUACCCCCCACUUCUUACUAGAGAAAUUCGUGUUGCCUCAGCAAUUAAGGAGAAGAGCCAGCAUCUAGGGUUCCAGGCUGUGAGGGGAAGUAGCAACUUGUACCAGUGUCAAUCAGACUGGUACAAAUCUCUUGGAGAAGACAGACAUCAUUCAAGAGGAGUAAAGGUACUGUACAGAGAUCAGUGUGAGGUAAGGAAUAAAUCACAGGAAUGGGAGAAUGUCUUCUUUGCAUGCUGUGUC